rnacentral:rRNA from 1 species
AUACGGAGGAUGCGAGCGUUAUCCGGAUUUAUUGGGUUUAAAGGGAGCGUAGGUGGGAUAUUAAGUCAGCUGUGAAAGUUUGGGGCUCAACCUUAAAAUUGCAGUUGAUACUGGUUUCCUUGAGUACGGUACAGGUGGGCGGAAUUCGUGGUGUAGCGGUGCAAUGCUUAGAUAUCACGAAGAACUCCGAUCGCGAAGGCAGCUCACCGGGCCGGAACUGACACUGAUGCUCGAAAGUGCGGGUAUCAAACAGGAUUAGAUACCCUGGUAGUCCGCACAGUAAACGAUGAAUACUCGCUGUUUGCGAUACACUGUAAGCGGCCAAGCGAAAGCGUUAAGUAUUCCACCCGGGGAGUACGCCGGCAACGGUGAAACUCAAAGGAAUUGACGGGG